CUUUCAGUGUCUGAAAUAUGAACACACAGUUGGCAGCAUAUUCUGGAUUGUUCACCGUAUGCCACGGUGGAAAGAAGCCAGGUGGUUCCAUUCUAAUGAGAAGCAGCAUGAGAUUCCUGUCACUGACACACUUGCCAACAAACAGGUGACAACUACAGGAAAGAAGGUUCAAACCACAGUUGUGUCACAGAAAAAAGCCUGGUGCAUACAUGUGGCAGAAAGCAAGACGCAGGAUGGUGAAUGGCAGCAACAUCAGCACACAAUAAUAUUGUGCAACAAUGUACUGACAUGGAACAACAUAGAACAGAGAUUCUCAAACUGUGGUCUGAGGACCACCCGUGGUCUGCGAGCUCCAUUCAGGUGGUCUGCGGAUAGUUCCCUCUAAGGUGCAUGCCU